GUUCAACACUGUAGAAAAAACGAAUAUCUAUGGAUGACAAAUGCUAACCAAACUUGUGUUUGUUUGGAUUGCGGGAAAGUGAAAGAAAAAACGCUGACGGAAAUAUAGAGACCAAGAUGGUGUUUACAAGAGUUUACUAUCAAAGAUAUGGGCUAUGCACGAUAUUUGUUGGGGUUGGAGAUUGCUCGUUCAACUGAAGGCAUCUACGUUAAUCAAAGAAAAUAUGCUUUUGAUCUCUUAACCGAUGUAGGUCUGUUAGGUGCAAAAGCAGUUGUUACUCCAUUUCCUAAGGCUCUCAAAUUAUCACAUGAAGAUGCUGGUGAAGUACCUGAUCCAGACAGGUAUAGAAGAUUAGGAGACAGACUUUUAUAAUUAGGCUUCACUAGGCCUGAUCUUGUCUACAGUGUUCAACAUUUGAGUCAGUUUGUCUCAUGCCAACAACACUGGGAAACUGCUAUUCAUGUGCUUAAAUACUUGAAGAGUUGUCCUUCAAAAGGUUUUGCAUGAAUCCGAAGGACAGAACCCUGGUUCUAUUAUGCUGUUGGCAUGACUGUUUCAAAAGCUUCUACAAGUAGAGCUACUUUUCUUUUCCGAGCUGGAUUUAAUCUCGA